rnacentral:lncRNA from 1 species
GUCUCACAAUGUUUCCCAGGCUGGUCUUGAACUCCUGGGCUCCAGUGAUCCUCCCACCUCAGCCUCCCAGAGUCCUGGGAUUACAGGCAUGAGCCGCCGUGCCCAGCCAGGUUUUGAGCAGAGGCAGGACAUAGUUCCACUUAGGUUCUAACAGGAUUCUCUAGCUGCUGUACAGAGAAGAGGCUCCCCAGGCAAGGACAGAACCAGGAGACCAAUGAGAAGGUGACCGCAGUAGUUCAGCUCCCCACAUUACUGAUGAGCUUCCUCGAGCUAAUGGAAUAAUGAAAACACAAAACAGAUUUACCAUUCUUAAUAAGAGAAAGAGAUAAUGAAGGCAAAUUAAAAUGGAGGCUCAGAUCUGCAUGGAGAACAGGUGUGAUGUUUGGAGUUAUAGCAGCCGCCUUGCAACCAUGAGGCAAGAAGCUGGAAAGACAAGCCAAGAGACUAAAACACUGUGACAUCACAUCUGACAAAAUUGAGCCACUGAACCAAUGCCAGCAGCUGUGUCCUCCAGAUUUCUUCUUAUGUGGGGCAAGACCUUUAUUAUUUAAGCCACCAGUGGUCUGAUAGUGUUACCUGAAGCCAAACAGACUCCUGUUUGAAACAGUGUGUUUGUUUCCCACUUAUCAUUGAGGAUCUGUCAAUGUCUCCCUCUCUCUCUCUCUUUAUUUAAUCUCCAGGGCAGAAUGACGAGUUAAUCCUACUCCUCGGGUCCUGGCACAUCAUCAUUGGUCCAAUCUCGAGAGAUUGAUUAAUUGGUUGAUUCCCUUUCAUUCCCUUUCCCUACUUUCUUUCCUUUCCCAUUCAUAGGCAGCCAUUCUAAUGCAUGUAAUAUAUUACAUAUUUCCAACUUGCAGGCAUUCAUAUGUGAUUUGCAUUGUCUUGUGUGCACAUGUAUUUUUAUCUUAUAUAAAUGGUAUUGUGCCGUAUAUCUUUUGCUUCUUGCACUCUGCACUGUGUUCUUAGAAUCCACGCAUGUUGCAAUGUGCGUGUCUCAUCCAUUGUUCUAACGCUGCUCAGAGCUCCCAGAGUGCAUCCUCCUUGUGGUGGACUUCCACGUAAGUUCUCUCCCCUCACCACCACCACUAAUGCUAGAAUGAUCAUCAUUGUACAGGUCUUCUUAUGCACUCUAAUGAUAACUCAUCUGGGGUUGAUAUCCAGAAGAGGAAUGGCGGGGUCCCAUACUUUUACAUGUACUUAAUUAGAUUCAACAGUGCCUGCUGUUCUUUAGAAUGGCUGCAUCAGACUAUCCUCCCAACAGAAAAUUUUUCAUCCUUUUUUUAUUACCUUUUGCAUUUUGAGUUUCCCUUGUUAGGUAGACUAAUAUUCAAGGCUUUCUUUCAUGGGGUUUUCCUGUUGUUAACAUGCAAUUUCUCUCUUUGUCCAUUUCAAAGCUCUUCACCUUGAAUUCCAUUUAGUUGGGCCUCAGAGCCUGAGCGUUUCCCAAUUUUUCAUGCAGCCUUUCUGACUCAAAGCUCGUGCCUGCUAAUCCUGUAUGAUCAAGAUUUAUGUCAAUGCCUGCAGUUCACGCAUGCCCACUGUUAAGAUGGGAUAAUGCCUCAUGAUGGAUUCUUCAAAACAACAGCCUUUGCCAGCAAAGAAAAAGAGACAGACUGUCCAAGAGGGGGCCCCAGUCAAAAGAGCUCACCUCACCUCUCCUGAUAGAUUGCUUAAUGAGUACACAUCCCUCCCAUCCAGUAAGCACGCCCCUUUGCGAGGUAACCCUGAAGCUCCUCCCCUCCAGAGGUGGGUUCUAUUUCCCCAGCCUUUUGAUUCUGGGCUUGAUCUUCUGACUUGAUUUAACCAAUAUUAUGUAGUAGAAAUGCCAGUGUGUGAGUUCCAGAGCUUGAGUCUUAAGAGGUUUGAAGCUUCUGCUUUCACCUUCUUGGAAACUCCAGACUACCAUAGAAGGCAGCUGGUGCAGCCUCCUGGGGAAUGAGACAUUCUGUGGAGGAGAGUGGAAGCAAUCCCUAGUCAACAACCAGCCAGACAUGAGGGAGAGGCUAUUAGGGCCUUUUCAGCCCCAGCCAGUCUCCCAACUUUGUGCAGCUACAUGAGUGAGCCUCAGCAAAACCAGCAGAGAAACUGCCCAGCCAACCUUUAGAAUCAUGAGAAAGAAGAAAUCAUUGUUUUGUGAUUUGUACACAAUGACAGAUAACGAAUAUACCUUUCUUAGCCUCAUGCUCCUCAUCUGUGAAAUGGGAAUAGCAGUCCCCAUCUAGUAGAGUUAUUUUGCACACUAACCAAUUGACUAGAUGUGAACAUACUUGCAAGCUAUAAAAAAAUUACAUGUGUUUAUUGUUAAUAGGCCUCAAUAUAUUGAGUAAAAUAUCUGGGCCCCUGGAAAGGUGAUCUAACAGUAUUUUGGCACAGUUAACACAAAUAGAGUGCUUAGGCACAGACCAGGCACUGUUCUAAGUUCCGUAAUUGUGCUAAUUCAUUUAACACUCAUCAUGGCUGGGAGCGGUUGUUCAUACCCGCAAUCCCAACACUUUGGGAGGCCAAGGCAGGAGGAUCACUUGAGGCCGGGAGUUCAAGACCAGCCUAGGAAACAAAGCAAGACUCUGCCUCUAUGAAAAAUAAAAUGUGAGCCAGCCAUGAUGGUAGGCAUCUGUAAUCUCAGUCUGUCAGGAAGCUGAGUUGGGAGGAUCGCUUGAACCCAGGAGUUCAAGGCUGCAGUGAGCUAAAAUAAGCCUGACUGAUAAAGCAAGACAAUGUCUCUGAAAAAAAAGAAAAAAGAAAAGAAACCCACUUACCAUAAGCAAGUCUACAAGGUUGGAACCAUGUUUUACAGGUGAGGAAACUGAGUCCUAGAGAGGUUAAGAACUUUUCAAAUGUCAUUCAGCUAAGAAAUGAUGGAGCUGGGAUCCAAGCCCAGGUGACCUGGCUCCUGAGCCCUUGUUCCCAUGAGAUAAUGGCAGGCAGACACGGCCAGGUGCGGUGGCUCACACCUGUAAUCCCAAUACUUUGGGAGGCCAAGGUGGGUUGAUCAUUUGAGGUCAGGAGUUCGAGACCAGCCUGGCCAACAUGGUGAGACCCCGUCUCUACUAAAAACAAAAAAAUUAGCCAGGCGUGGUGGCGUACGCCUGUAAUCCCAGCUACUUGGGAGGCUGAGGCAGGAGAAUCGCUUGAACUCGAGAGGCAGAGGUUGCAGUAAUCCGAGAUCACGCCACUGCACUCCAGCCCAGGCGACAGAGUGAGACUCCAUUU